GUGAAAAAGAUGAGAUCCACAACCUUCGAUUUCGCUGGAUCGAAUUUGUUUACAGUUCCAAGCGGAGUGAAAUUUUUGCAGGUUGCAUUUUUCACGAGCGUGAAAAAAUGAACAUUUUGUAUGAGAUUUUCACUUCGCUUGGAACUCUAAAUAGGGCUUAUGGAUUCAAUCAAAGAAACAAAAAUUUAAAAUAAGCAUUCAUCCGAGCAACAAACCUAACUUUUGUUGUAAAUUUUCGAGAGCACACGUGAUGUAAAGAAGUUUCUAAGGUUUAUCUCAAAAGUGAUGAAAACUCACAUGCGACUGUUAUGCAUUUAUGGGCAGUAUACAUCUGUAAAUUUUUGCAAGACAUCCUAAUGAAAGCACCUUUGCGCUAGAGAAGGGGAGUUUGUACUGGUUUAUGUACUAAAAUAUCUAUUCAGAAUUAGUAUUGUGUGUUCUGCCACAAAUGGUGACAUUUCAACACUAUUAUAUAUAUUUGUACGCUUUUUAGUAUUAUUGAAUGUUAUUAGCUUUCGCAGCUAAGAUAAUGUAAUUGUAGGAAAAUUAUUAAACCUACUUGUCAAGAAAAAUAAA